CAAUAGCGUAUAUUAAAGUUGUUGCGGUUAAAAAGCUCGUAGUUGGAUUUCUGCUGAGAACGGCCGGUCCGCCCUUUGGGUGUGUAUCUGGCUCUUUCUUGGCAUCUUCUUGGUGAACGUUGCUGCACUUGACUGUGUGGAGCGCUACCCAGGACUUUUACUUUGAGGAAAUUAGAGUGUUUCAAGCAGGCAUACGCCUUGAAUACAUUAGCAUGGAAUAAUAAGAUAGGACCUCGGUUCUAUUUUGUUGGUUUCUAGAGCUGAGGUAAUGAUUAAUAGGGAUAGUUGGGGGUGCUCGUAUUCAACGGCCAGAGGUGAAAUUCUUGGAUUCGUUGAAGACGAACUUAUGCGAAAGCAUUCACCAAGGAUGUCUUCUUUAA
rnacentral:rRNA from 1 species